rnacentral:rRNA from 1 species
AAAUUGAAGAGUUUGAUCAUGGCUCAGAUUGAACGCUGGCGGCAGGCCUAACACAUGCAAGUCGAACGGUAACAGGAAGCAGCUUGCUGCUUCGCUGACGAGUGGCGGACGGGUGAGUAAUGUCUGGGAAACUGCCUGAUGGAGGGGGAUAACUACUGGAAACGGUAGCUAAUACCGCAUAACGUCGCAAGACCAAAGAGGGGGACCUUCGGGCCUCUUGCCAUCGGAUGUGCCCAGAUGGGAUUAGCUAGUAGGUGGGGUAACGGCUCACCUAGGCGACGAUCCCUAGCUGGUCUGAGAGGAUGACCAGCCACACUGGAACUGAGACACGGUCCAGACUCCUACGGGAGGCAGCAGUGAGGAAUAUUGGUCAAUGGGCGUAAGCCUGAACCAGCCAAGUCGCGUGAGGGAUGAAGGUUCUAUGGAUCGUAAACCUCUUUUAUAAGGGAAUAAAGUGCGGGACGUGUCCCGUUUUGUAUGUACCUUAUGAAUAAGGAUCGGCUAACUCCGUGCCAGCAGCCGCGGUAAUACGGAGGAUCCGAGCGUUAUCCGGAUUUAUUGGGUUUAAAGGGUGCGUAGGCGGCCUUUUAAGUCAGCGGUGAAAGUCUGUGGCUCAACCAUAGAAUUGCCGUUGAAACUGGGGGGCUUGAGUAUGUUUGAGGCAGGCGGAAUGCGUGGUGUAGCGGUGAAAUGCUUAGAUAUCACGCAGAACCCCGAUUGCGAAGGCAGCCUGCCAAGCCAUGACUGACGCUGAUGCACGAAAGCGUGGGGAUCAAACAGGAUUAGAUACCCUGGUAGUCCACGCAGUAAACGAUGAUCACUAGCUGUUUGCGAUACAGUGUAAGCGGCACAGCGAAAGCGUUAAGUGAUCCACCUGGGGAGUACGCCGGCAACGGUGAAACUCAAAGGAAUUGACGGGGGCCCGCACAAGCGGAGGAACAUGUGGUUUAAUUCGAUGAUACGCGAGGAACCUUACCCGGGUUUGAACGCAUUCGGACCGAGGUGGAAACA